CCACCUUGGGUGAAAUUUUCCACCCCUACCCUUGAAAUUUCACUCCCUUGACUGGUACCAGGGGUUGCAGCUACUUCGUUGCAACCUAGCCAGCAGCUACUUGGCUGCAACCCAGGCAACAGCCAAGUUUCGAUUCCCCAGGAAAAAAUUUCGCUGCAGCCUGGGUUGCAGCCAAGCAGUUGCAACCCCAUGGUAGCAGCCAAGGGAAUAGAAUCCCAAGGGUAGGUUUGAAAAUACCCGCAGAGGAUCCAUUAUCGAAGCUUCUAGUGCUUGUUGGGUAGAUCAGUUGAAGGUAUCUACUUCAUAUGAUAUAGAAUUGGUUCUCCUCCCAAAUAUUUAUCUACAAGGUAAUAGCUUCAAUUCUCUUUGGAAUGGACUCGAAUGAGUAUCUCAGUGCUUCAGAUGAUGAAGAACUGGAGAAAAGCAACCAUGGAACAGCAAAAAUUCAGCAACAGUUGCAGAUUCUUCAAUCUCUCAUUCCCAAUUCAAACCAGACUGAUUCAAGAUCAAUCAUAGAAGAUGCCUCAGAUUAUUUGAGAAGAAUUCAUGAAGAGAUAGAGAAAGCUGAGAAGGAACUAUCAUCACAGAGAUCAGAAGGCGAUAUUGGGAGCUCAUCAGGGACAAGGAUGAUCCAUAAUGGUAGUAGUAGUACUAGUAGUACGGCCCCCCAUAUACUGAGGGUGGAAACAGAGAAAGUAGGCGGCGGAUUUGUGGUGAAGAUGAUUUGGAAGAAAGGACCUGAGGUAGCUGGUCACGUGCAGCGCCUGAUUGAGAGUUUGGAGUUGGUACAGUUGGAAGUGAAGAUGAAUUCUAUUAAUCUAAAAGACAACAAUAAUCCUCAUGAAAUGAUAACCACAGCUUUCCUCGAGGUCUACCUUCUACACAAGAAAAAAUGCAAGAUGAAAUACAAGGGCUUCUUUUGAUGGUGAUUUUAAGAGAGAGUUUUCUUCACAUCGUAGGAAAAGAAAACCCACAGAUCUAGGAUCAAUAUUCCUUUUUUAAAAGUAUAUACAAUACAUUAAGGUGAUGGACGAGAAGCAUAUAACUGAAGAGGAGCUCUAUGAUAUGAUAAUGGGAACAGCAACAAGGCUUGGCUUGGUACAGUAAACCUGUAUCUAAAAGCUGGGCAUGAUUGGCAAAACGGUGACAUAUAUAUAUAUAUAUAUAUAUACAUAUAUAUAGUAACUGAACUGAUUUAUGUUGAUGAUGUUAUAACAUUGAGACGCAUUGAUCUGAAGGUAUGGUAUAUUAUGAGAUAGAUCAACAAAUCUGAAUUAAACAUUUAAUUAACCCAAUUUGCAUGUUCUUGCACUUCACCUUGUUUGUAAUCCAAUUCCUUUUUAACUAGAGGAGGUGAUAGUGGGGAAGCCAAUUAAAAGGCUGGUUUUGUAGCUGCUUUGGCUUUUGGUUUGAAAUGAUAAUUGUUUUUCUU